rnacentral:tRNA from 1 species
GUGUGCGUAGCUCAAUUGGUAGAGCGGUGGCGUGUGGUGCCAUUGGUUGUGGGUUCGACUCCCAUCGUACACC